rnacentral:rRNA from 1 species
AAGGGGCGUCGACCCUGUGGGAGUUUUUUUUUUUUUUUACCUCUCUUUCCUUCUCUUCAGCGGGGGGGGUUAUAUAGAGGGUGUAGGAAAAAAAAACCCCCUUACUGUUCGGCCAUUCUGAAAA